rnacentral:rRNA from 1 species
GAUCAUGGCUCAGGAUGAACGCUAGCGACAGGCUUAACACAUGCAAGUCGAGGGGCAGCAUAAAAGUAGCAAUACUUGGUGGCGACCGGCGCACGGGUGAGUAACGCGUAUGCAACCUACCUAUCAGAGGGGAAUAACCCGGCGAAAGUCGGACUAAUACCGCAUAAACAGGGGCACCGCAUGGUGAUAUUUGUUAAAGAAAUUCGCUGAUAGAUGGGCAUGCGUUCCAUUAGGUAGUUGGUGAGGUAACGGCUCACCAAGCCGACGAUGGAUAGGGGAACUGAGAGGUUGGUCCCCCACACUGGUACUGAGACACGGACCAGACUCCUACGGGAGGCAGCAGUGAGGAAUAUUGGUCAAUGGGCGGGAGCCUGAACCAGCCAAGUCGCGUGAAGGAAGAAGGAUCUAUGGUUCGUAAACUUCCUUUGCAGGGGAAUAAAGUGCAGGACGUGUCCUGUUUUGUAUGUACCCUGAGAAUAAGGAUCGGCUAACUCCGUGCCAGCCGCCGC